AUUGAACGCUGGCGGCAGGCCUAACACAUGCAAGUCGAGCGAGAGGCGGACGGGUGAGUAAUGUAUGGGGAUCUGCCUGAUGGAGGGGGAUAACUACUGGAAACGGUAGCUAAUACCGCAUACCAUCGGCUGAGCCCAGAUGGGAUUAGCUGGUAGGAGGGGUAACGGCUCACCUAGGCGACGAUCCCUAGCUGGUCUGAGAGGAUGAUCAGCCACAACGGGAUCAAUACACGGCCCAGACUCCUACGGGAGGCGGCAGUGGGGAAGAUGGGAAAAUGGGCGCAAGCCUGAUGCAUCCAUGACGCGUGUAGGAAGAAGGUCUUCGGGUUGUAAAGCACUUUCAGUAGGGAGGCGUUACCAACAGAAGAAGCACCGGCUAACUUCGUGCCAGCAGCCGCGGUAAUAC
rnacentral:rRNA from 1 species